rnacentral:tRNA from 1 species
GCGCCCGUAGCUCAGCUUGGAUAGAGCGACAGUAGUGAUGCAAUGCAUCAUAUACCGCUAAAGCCUCCUAAGCUGUAGGUCGGGGGUUCAAAUCCUCCUGGGCGCG